AGAGUUUGAUCCUGGCUCAGGAUGAACGCUGGCGGCGUGCUUAACACAUGCAAGUCGAAUGUAGCAAUACAUGGCGGACGGGUGAGUAACGCGUGAGCAAUCUGCCCAUAUCUGGGGGAUAACAGUUGGAAACGACUGAUAAUACCGCAUAACAUCAUUUGAAGGCAUCUUCGUUUGAUCAAAGAUUUAUCGGAUAUGGAUGAGCUCGCGUCUGAUUAGGCUGUUGGUGAGGUAACGGCUCACCAGACCGACGAUCAGUAGCCGACCUGAGAGGGUGAUCGGCCACAUUGGAACUGAGACACGGUCCAAACUCCUACGGGAGGCAGCAGUGGGGAAUAUUGGGCAAUGGAGGCAACUCUGACCCAGCAACGCCGCGUGAAUGAUGAAGGUCUUCGGAUUGUAAAGUUCUUUUCUGAGGGACGAAGAAAGUGACGGUACCUCAGGAAUAAGCCUCGGCUAACUACGUGCCAGCAGCCGCGGUAAUACGUAGGAGGCAAGCGUUAUCCGGAAUGACUGGGCGUAAAGGGUGCGUAGGUGGUUCGGCAAGUUAGUAGCGUAAGCCCGAGGCUCAACCUCGGGACUACUACUAAAACUGUUGGACUUGAGUGCAGGAGGGGCAAACGGAAUUCCUAGUGUAGCGGUGGAAUGCGUAGAUAUUAGGAAGAACACCGGUGGCGAAGGCGGUUUGCUGGACUGUAACUGACACUGAGGCACGAAAGCGUGGGGGAGCAAACAGGAUUAGAUACCCUGGUAGUCCACGCCGUAAACGAUGAAUACUAGGUGUAGGGGGUAUCGACUCCCUCUGUGCCGCCGCUAACGCAUUAAGUAUUCCGCCUGGGGACUACGGCCGCAAGGUUGAAACUCAAAGAAAUUGACGGGGACCCGCACAAGCAGCGGAGCAUGUGGUUUAAUUCGACGCAACGCGAAAAACCUUACCAGGCCUUGACAUCAAGUGAAAGUCCAAGAGAUUGGACCCUCCUUCGGGACACGAAGACAGGUGCUGCAUGGUUGUCGUCAGCUCGUGUCGUGAGAUGUUAGGUUAAGUCCUGCAACGAGCGCAACCCUCAUAUACAGUUGCCAUUAUUAAGUUAGGAACUCUGUAUAGACUGCCGUGGUUAACACGGAGGAAGGUGGGGAUGACGUCAAAUCAUCACGGCCCUUACGGCCUGGGCUACACACGUGCUACAAUGGCUAUUACAAAGAGUUGCAAUAUGGUAACAUGGAGCGAAUCUCAAAAAGAUAGUCUCAGUUCAGAUUGUGGGCUGCAACCCGCCCACAUGAAGUCGGAGUUGCUAGUAAUCCCGAAUCAGCAUGUCGGGGUGAAUGCGUUCCCGGGUCUUGUACUCACCGCCCGUCA
rnacentral:rRNA from 1 species